rnacentral:rRNA from 1 species
AUUGAACGCUGGCGGCAGGCCUAACACAUGCAAGUCGAGCGGAUGAAGGGAGCUUGCUCCUGGAUUCAGCGGCGGACGGGUGAGUAAUGCCUAGGAAUCUGCCUGGUAGUGGGGGAUAACGUCCGGAAACGGGCGCUAAUACCGCAUACGUCCUGAGGGAGAAAGUGGGGGAUCUUCGGACCUCACGCUAUCAGAUGAGCCUAGGUCGGAUUAGCUAGUUGGUGGGGUAAAGGCCUACCAAGGCGACGAUCCGUAACUGGUCUGAGAGGAUGAUCAGUCACACUGGAACUGAGACACGGUCCAGACUCCUACGGGAGGCAGCAGUGGGGAAUAUUGGACAAUGGGCGAAAGCCUGAUCCAGCCAUGCCGCGUGUGUGAAGUAUGUCUUCGGAUUGUAAAGCACUUUAAGUUGGGAGGAAGGGCAGUAAGUUAAUACCUUGCUGUUUUGACGUUACCAACAGAAUAAGCACCGGCUAACUUCGUG